ensembl:lncRNA KRT42P keratin 42, pseudogene
CUCUUUUGCAGGGGCCGUUCCUCGGGGCAUGACGCUGGCUCCUGCACAGAUCCUGCUCCUCUGUGGCCUUCCUGGGCUGCCCUCCCCUCCUCCGGGACUGCUCUGGACUGACAUUGCUCAGGUUCGGAUUCCCUCAAAGACUUUGGGAGACAAGACUUGGUCCCCCUUUUACAAACGAGGGAACGGAGGCUCUAGAACUGACUUCCUGAAAGGCUUGGAUCCAAAGCUCCCUCAGUUCAGCGGCCACGUCUAUUUCCCUCAGACACAGGGAUCCUUGAACCUGUGGGCUGUAUCUCCCCGCGGACUUGGAAGAAUCCCAAGAGAGUGGGGCUCCCACAGGCUGGAGUGCAAUGGUGUGAUCUCGGCUCACUGCAACCUCCACCUCCCAGGUUCAAGCUAUUCUCCUGCCUCAGCCUCCUGAGUAGCUGGGAUUACAGAUCCUGGUGGCUGUGGUCGGUAAUUCCAGCUUCGUGCUGGCUACAGGUGGAUGAUGCCCACCUGGCUGCCGAUGACCUCUGCACCAAGUGAGGCUGGGUCUCUGGAGCUGCCCCAGGGGCUGGACAAGCUGACCCUGGCCGGGGCCAACCUGGAGAUGCAGAUUGAGAACCUCAAGGAGGACCUGGUCUACCUGAAGAAGAACCACAAGCAGGAAAUGAACGUCCUUUGAGGUCAGGUGGAUGAGGAUGUCAGUGUGAAGAUGGACACUGUGCCUGGAGUGAACCUGAGCUGCAUCCUGAAUGAGAUGCGUGACCAGGACAAGACAUUGGUGGAGAAGAGCUGCAAGGAUGCCGAGGGCUGGUUCUUCAGCAUGGUGGGUGGCCGUGCGUAAGCAGGUGUGUACACGUGUGGGCACAUGUGCUGCAUGCUGGUGCAGCUGGAGCACUGGCAGAUCCACAGGCUGUCCCAGUUGGAAGGACUUUUGGAAACCAGUUGGACCAGCCCCUCAUGUUUUAGAUGUAAAACGUGAGGCUCAGAGAGGACUCAAGCUCACACAGCCCUUCACUGUGGCCUGCAAAAUAGAUCCAGGUCUCUACAAGUCUGGUCUUGGGUUUCCACCACAGCUGUUUACAGGAUGUGCGUAUUUGAAUACAUAUGUAUACCCUUGGCAAGCACAGGCUGAGUAUCUCCGGUAUCCUAGGGACAGCAACAGGCGCAAAAGAAUAACACCCAGUGCCUGUCUUUGAGGUGCUGCAGUUCAGUAGGAAAAAGAAAUGCAAAUGACCGCAGAGCAGGCUGAAUUCCUCCAAGUUCCAAUGUGGGUGCAGAGGCUCUCUGUGUGCAGAAAGAGGGGCUGAACUGCGAGGUGGCCACCAACACAGAGGCCCUGCAGAGUGGCUGGAUAGAGAUAUGGAGCUCUACGUCUCUGUGCAGAACCUGAGCCGUCCCAGCUCAGCAAGAAAGCAUCGCUGGAGGGCAGCCUGGUGGAGAUGGAGGUGUGUUACAGGACCCUGCCGGCCCAGCUGCAGGGGCUUAACAGAAGCAUGGAGCAGCAGCUGUGCGAGCUCUGCUGCGACACGGAGCACCAGGACCACAAGCACAGGUCCUUCUGGACGUGAAGACGUGGCUGGAGCAGGAGAUCGCCACCUACCGCCGCUUGCUGGAGGUUGAGGACGCCCAGAGGUGAUACUGACGAUGCAGGCUGGAGUCUGGCUGAGGAGCCUUGAAUGCCAAGUUAAAGCGUCUGGACUAGAUCACGUAGGCAAUGGGGAGCCAUGGAGGGAUUUGGAGCAGGAGAGUGAAAUGAACAUCAAGAGAUUUUAGAACAUUCACUCUGGCUGCAGAGGGAGAAAUGGAUCAGAGGGGUCAGGGCGGGGCCAGAGAGAUGUGUCAGGGGGCUGGAGCAGGGAGUCUGGCCAGAGAAGUCCCGUGCGGUGGUGGGUAGUGGGGCAGGGGAAGGAAGGUGGUGCACGCAGAAGAGAGGUUAUAGCUCAAAACAGCGGGACUGGAUGCCUGGAUCUCGGGGUAAGCAUGGCUCACAGUCAGGACUCAGUAAGUGUCGGGAGAACACAUGAAGGAGCAGGCAUUGAUGGCCCUGGGUUUCUGGUUCUGAUGACUGUGUGAGUGGUGAAGAGCAAGGUGGGUGGUGGUUGGGUUUGCAGUUGGGAAGGGUGAUCAGGCCUUCAGCUGAGAGUGUCCCGGAGUCUCCAUGCUUAGUCACACGUUGCAGCUUUUUGCUCCCCGGAAAUGGUGAAGUCCAUCUAUAGUCUAACAACAGUCUCUCCUGCUUUAAUUGGGUCUAUUUGUUGGGCCCUCUGGGUUAUGGAAAAACCACUUGCUCAGCUUCUCCUUGUAAAUUCCUGGUGAGUAGCCACAGAGUGCCGCCAGACCUACUGCUGUGCUGUUUCUUUUUCUUCUUCCUGCUGUGCUGAACCCCUGCCCUUUCAUUCUUGGGCCUGCGCUAAUUUCUGUGCAUUCCCAACUGUGAUUUUUCACCAAUUUAGGGGAACCUCCUCUGCCAGGGCCUACUUCUCCCCAGCAGUGCUUGCAGGUGCCUGGGCUGGCUGGCAUCCCUGGGCUGAUGGGUGCUUCUCUCCCUGCAGGCUGGCCACUCAGUACUCCUUGUCCCUGGCCUCGCAGCCCACCCGGGAAGCCACAGUGACCAGCCACCAGGUGUGCCAUCGUGGAGGAAGUCCAGGUUGGAGAGGUGGUCUUCUUCUGUGAGCAGGUCCACUUCUCCACCCACUGAGACCCCUUUCUGUCUGCGACAGCCCCACCUCGAGGGCCACGGCACAGCCAUCAGCUCCAGCUCCCAGCAUGCUACUGCCACGCCCCGAGUGUCCGUCUGGGCCCCGGUGCAUGGCCUGUUGUCUUUCUGUAUCUACUUUCUGCAGCCCCUCACUGAGGAGGCCUCCUGGGUUUGUCCAGUGCCUACUAUUAAAGCUUUGCUCCAAGUUC